UUCUGUGGCUACUGAAAACAACAAAAGCUUUUCAAAAUCUUUUUCCAGAUGAGAUGAUUGUGGAACUGGCUAGGGUCGUGGCUUAUGAGAGAUAUGAUCACAACAGGCAUAUAGCAUAUCAAGGGAGAUCACCGGAACUGUUUUAUUUUGUAAUCACAGGAAGAAUCCACAAGCUUAGAGAGUACAAACUUCCAUCUGGAUGUCUCAAUAAAUUGAUUGGUGUCAUGCAGAAGGGAGAUAUGUCUGACGUAAGUUUGUAAUUGAUUGGUGUCAUGCAGAAGGGAGAUAUGUCUGACGUAAGUUUGUAAUUGAUUGGUGUCAUGCAGAAGGAUGAUAUGUCUGACGUAAGUUUGUAAUUGAUAGGUGUCAUGCAGAAGGGAGAUAUGUCUGACGUAAGUUUGUAAUUGAUUGGUGUCAUGCAGAAGGGAGAUAUGUCUGACGUAAGUUUGUAAUUGAUUGGUGUCAUGCAGAAGGGAGAUAUGGCUGACGUAAGUUUAUAAUUGAUUGGUGUCAUGCAGAAGGGAGAUAUGGCUGACGUAAGUUUGUAAUUGAUUGGUGUCA
rnacentral:sRNA from 1 species